rnacentral:rRNA from 1 species
GCAUAACGCGAAGAACCUUACCGGGCUUGACAUCUUUCUGACCGCCUGGGAAACCAGGUCUUCUUCCUUCGGGAAGACGGAAAGACAGGUGGUGCAUGGUUGUCGUCAGCUCGUGUCGUGAGAUGUUGGGUUAAGUCCCACAACGAGCGCAACCCUUGUCCUUAUUUGCCAGCCUGUUUACAGGCGUACUUUAAGGAGACUGCCGUAGAUAAUACGGAGGAAGGUGGGGAUGACGUCAAAUCCUCAUGCCCCUUACGUCCCCGGGCUACACACGUGCUACAAUGGUCUGUACAGAGGGUAGCCAAGAAGCAAUUCGGAGCCAAUCCCAAAAGCAGGCCCCAGUUCGGAUUGGAGCUGCAACUCGCCUCCAUGAAGUCGGAAUCGCUAGUAAUCGCGGAUCAGCACGCCGCGGUGAAU